UGGGGAAUUUUGGACAAUGGGCGCAAGCCUGAUCCAGCAAUGCCGCGUGCAGGAUGAAGGCCUUCGGGUUGUAAACUGCUUUUGUACGGAACGAAACGGCGAGCUCUAAUACAGUUUGCUAAUGACGGUACCGUAAGAAUAAGCACCGGCUAACUACGUGCCAGCAGCCGCGGUAAUACGUAGGGUGCAAGCGUUAAUCGGAAUUACUGGGCGUAAAGCGUGCGCAGGCGGUUAUGUAAGACAGAUGUGAAAUCCCCGGGCUUAACCUGGGAACUGCAUUUGUGACUGCAUAGCUAGAGUACGGUAGAGGGGGAUGGAAUUCCGCGUGUAGCAGUGAAAUGCGUAGAUAUGCGGAGGAACACCGAUGGCGAAGGCAAUCCCCUGGACCUGUACUGACGCUCAUGCACGAAAGCGUGGGGAGCAAACAGGAUUAGAUACCCUGGUAGUCCACGCCCUAAACGAUGUCAACUGGUUGUUGGGAGGGUUUCUUCUCAGUAACGUAGCUAACGCGUGAAGUUGGCCGCCUGGGGAGUACGGCCGCAAGGUUG
rnacentral:rRNA from 1 species